rnacentral:rRNA from 1 species
UCUUGGGUCAUUUAGAGGAAGUAAAAGUCGUAACAAGGUCUCCGUUGGUGAACCAGCGGAGGGAUCAUUACCGAGUUUACAACUCCCAAACCCCUGUGAACAUACCUUAUGUUGCCUCGGCGGAUCAGCCCGCGCCCCGUAAAAAGGGACGGCCCGCCGCAGGAACCCUAAACUCUGUUUUUAGUGGAACUUCUGAGUAUAAAAAACAAAUAAAUCAAAACUUUCAACAACGGAUCUCUUGGUUCUGGCAUCGAUGAAGAACGCAGCAAAAUGCGAUAAGUAAUGUGAAUUGCAGAAUUCAGUGAAUCAUCGAAUCUUUGAACGCACAUUGCGCCCGCCAGUAUUCUGGCGGGCAUGCCUGUUCGAGCGUCAUUUCAACCCUCAAGCCCAGCUUGGUGUUGGGAGCUGCAGUCCUGCUGCACUCCCCAAAUACAUUGGCGGUCACGUCGAGCUUCCAUAGCGUAGUAAUUUACACAUCGUUACUGGUAAUCGUCGCGGCCACGCCGUUAAACCCCAACUUCUGAAUGUUGACCUCGGAUCAGGUAGGAAUACCCGCUGAACUUAAGCAUAUCAAU